rnacentral:rRNA from 1 species
AGCAGCCGCCGCGGGAAUACGGAGGGGGCUAGCGUUGUUCGGAAUUACUGGGCGUAAAGCGCACGUAGGCGGCUUGGUAAGUUAGAGGUGAAAGCCCGGAGCUCAACUCCGGAAUUGCCUUUAAGACUGCCGAGCUAGCAGGUGAGAGAGGUAAGUGGAAUUCCGAGUGUAGAGGUGAAAUUCGUAGAUAUUCGGAAGAACACCAGUGGCGAAGGCGGCUUACUGGCUCAUACUGGACGCUGAGGUGCGAAAGCGUGGGGAGCAAACAGGAUUAGAUACCCCGGUAGUCCCUGUCUCUUAUAC